AGGUACUACGAUGCAUCAUUUUGGUUGUGUUUGUUUUGAGACUGGGUCUCACUCUAUCACUCAGGCUAGAGUGCAGUGGCGUGAUCCUGGCUCACUGCAACCUCUGCCUCCUGGGCUCAAGCAAUUCUCCUGCCUUAGCCUCCUACGUACCUGGACUUCAGGUGUGUGCCACCAUGCUUGGCUAUUUUUCGCCAUGUUGCCCAGGCUGGUCCCAAACUUCUGGACUUAAGGAAUACUCCUACCUUGGCCUCCCAAAGUGCUGGGAUACAGAGAAAGAGUCUGACUCUGUGCCUAGGCUGGAGUGCAGUGUCAUGAUUAUAACUCACUGCAACCUCAAAAUCCUGGGCUCGAUGGUCCUCCUGCCUCAACCUCCCAAAGUGCUGGAAUUUACAGGUAUGAGUCACCAUGCCCAGCCACUAACACAUUCUUAUAAGAGUUCUUUGUUGCAUCGUUUGUAAUAUCAAAAAGACCUUUAAAUUAUUUAAAUAGAAAUCAUUAGAAUACACUACAGUAGAUUAUUGUACAACUAUUAAAAGUAAUGUGCUGAUAUGGAAAAUCUCUAUAUUACAUGACAAAAGUGAAGUAUUUUAUACUUUUUAUAUACCAUAGUUUGUAUUAUUAAUUACAAAUCAUCUGUGUAUGUGUGUAUGUGUAUGUAUAUAUGUGUGUGUCAAUUUGCAUAGACACAAGAAAUUUAAAUGAUCUUAGCAGACAUCCAGUGCUUUGUGUGUGCGGCUUGUCUUUUUAUUGUUUGAGUUAUCUUUUGGAUUUUUUUGUUCCAGAAUCAUGUCAUCUGUGAGUAAUGAUAGUUUGGGGUCUUUUCUUUAAGCCUCAUGCCUUUUACUUCUUUCACACUGUUGCUAACAGUGUCUUGUUCCCAGUCUCAAAGGGAAAGCCUUCGGCAUUUGACCUAGAAGACCGGUGCUUUCUGUAGAGUCGUUGUUGAUAUAAAUACCUUUCUCAUAUUAAGGUAUUUUCAUCCUAUGUAUAAACAAUUUUAAAGUUGUUUAAGAUUUUAAAUAAUUAUAAAUGUAAAUUUGUAAAUGUUAUUUUAAAUUUUAAAUUAUGUAAUUUGUUGAUGAGAUUGAUAUUAAAUUUUAUCAAAAUAUUUUUCUGAACCUGUUGAGAUGCUUGUGCAUUUUUUCACCUUUUUACCUGUAAGUGCAGUGAAUUAUAUUGAUUGAUUUUCAUAUGGUAAAUUAACUUUGCAUUCUUGGAAUAAAACUAACUGGUUUGUUCACAGUGAGACACCAUCUCACAUCAAUCAGAAUGGUGAUUAUUAAAAAGACAAGAAACAAUAUAUGCUGAUGAGGUUGUGGGGAAAUAAGAAUGCUUUUACACUGUUAGUGGAAAUGUCAAUUAGUUCAACUAUUGUGGAAGACAGGUUGGUGAUUUCUCAAGGAUGUAGAACCAGAAAUACCAUUUGACCCAGCAAUCCCAUUACUG
ensembl:lncRNA